AUUGCCCCUAAUGGCAAUGCAAUUAUGGCUGCUGUAUGUGUGUCAGUAGGUAGCAGAGAAGAGAGAGAGAAUAUGUUACACUGUGUUCUGACUUGUGAACAUCUGAAUUAUUAGUAGCCUAACAUU